rnacentral:rRNA from 1 species
AGAGCGAACGCUGGCGGCAGGCCUAACACAUGCAAGUCGAGCGCCCGUAGCAAUACGGGAGCGGCAGACGGGAGAGUAACACGUGGGAACGUACCCUUCAGUUCGGAAUAACCCAGGGAAACUUGGACUAAUACCGAAUACGUCCGUAAGGAGAAAGAUUUAUCGCUGAAGGAUCGGCCCGCGUCUGAUUAGCUUGUUGGUGAGGUAACGGCUCACCAAGGCGACGAUCAGUAGCUGGUCUGAGAGGAUGAUCAGCCUCACUGGGACUGAGACACGGCCCAGACUCCUACGGGAGGCAGCAGUGGGGAAUAUUGGACAAUGGGCGCAAGCCUGAUCCAGCCAUGCCGCGUGGAUGAUGAAGGCCCUAGGGUUGUAAAGUCCUUUCGGACGGGGAAGAUAAUGACGGUACCCGUAGAAGAAGCCCCGGCUAACUUCGUGCCAGCAGCCGC